UACGUAGGGGGCAAGCGUUGUCCGGAUUUAUUGGGCGUAAAGAGCGUGUAGGCGGCUAGGUAGGUCCGUUGUGAAAACUCGAGGCUCAACCUCGAGACGUCGAUGGAAACCAUCUAGCUAGAGUCCGGAAGAGGAGAGUGGAAUUCCUGGUGUAGCGGUGAAAUGCGCAGAUAUCAGGAAGAACACCCGUGGCGAAGGCGGCUCUCUGGGCAUUAACUGACGCUGAGGAGCGAAAGCAUGGGGAGCGAACAGG
rnacentral:rRNA from 1 species